UGCGAUGCUCCGGGAGGACUUGGGACAGGCGCUGGGCGGGGUUUCGCCGUUCCGCGGAACGCCGGGAAGGGGUCACUUUCAGAUGAAGGUUCCGGUUCCGGUGCGGGCAGAGGUUGCGUUGCCACGGCAGCGCGGUUGGCUGGCCGCUGGUUCUUGCGUUCCGGGUGGUGGCUGGGCUGGAGCAGGCUUGGAUCCGCCGUUCCUGGCUUAGGCGAGCUUCCCGGAGCUUCAGUAAGGCCGCGGCUGUUCGCGGCGGAAGCAGGGACUGCGCCGGCCUCUGGCGGCCAGGCCUGCCCGGGGCUACGGCGUCGGGGCCCGGGCCGUGUGUCGCAGCCCUCCUGUGGUCCCGCUGCCCCCGUGGGAGCAGAGGCCCAGACCCCUUCCCGUGGUUCCCGCCUCUGCAGCGCGAUUAUUCCACUAAAACAACUUUGAUUUUUAAAGUUUGUAAAGAGCUCUCGUCUGUGUGAUCGGGGCUUCGCUGACUUUCCAGCCGACCUAAGCCCCUGGGCCUGGGCCCAGGAAAGGUUUGUUGAAUGGGGAACUAAGAAAGGAAUUGGUUCGUUCGACAGACGUUUCCUGAGCAGCUGCUGCGUGCAGGGCACGGUGCCGGCGCGGGACCUGUGCCCAGAGCUUGAGAAAUGAGAAGCAGAGUCAUUGAUUCCAGGUAAAUCAGAGGAACAAACAUCAUACAGAAAUAUACAGGACAGUAAUAUACAGGAAGCAACGUGAUGUCGAAGCUUAACUGUUGUUUCAAAAAUCCAGCAUCUGGUGUACGUAACAGUAGGGGCUAUAUUGUUUGCAAAGUCACCUAACUUUUACUCAUACUUAUGUUCUGAUCCCACAUGCUGCAGAGCAACUAAGCCCGUGCACCACAACUACUGAGCCUGUGCCCUAG